CCUACGGGCGGCAGCAGUAGGGAAUCUUUCACAAUGGGCGAAAGCCUGAUGGAGCAACGCCGCGUGCAGGAUGAAGGCCUUCGGGUUGUAAACUGCUUUUAUAAGCGGGAAAUAUGAUGGUAACUUAUGAAUAAGGAUCGGCUAACUACGUGCCAGCAGCCGCGGUCAUACGUAGGAUCCGAGCAUUAUCCGGAGUGACUGGGUGUAAAGAGUUGCGUAGGUGGCAUAAUAAGUAGCUAGUGAAAUCUGGUGGCUCAACCAUUCAGACUAUUAGCUAAACUGUUAAGCUCGAGACCGUUAAGGGUAACUGGAAUUUCUGGUGUAGGAGUGAAAUCCGUAGAUAUUAGAAGGAACACCAAUAGCGUAGGCAGGUUGCUGGGACGGUUCUGACACUAAGGCACGAAAGCGUAGGGAGCAAACGGGAUUAGAUACCCCAGUAGUC
rnacentral:rRNA from 1 species